UUUGUACUAGUUCUAGUGAAUGUGGCAACGGCGGGACAUGCAUCACAAGUAGUAGUCCCUACGCGUGUUCUUGUGCACCUGGGUACUCAGGCCUGACAUGCCAAAACGCUGUUCUGCACUGUUAACGCAGAUUGUAUAAACGGGGGGACAUGUGCAAACGAUAACACAUGUAUAUGUCCAGCUGGAUAUACAGGCGGAAAGUGUGAAAAUGGAACUGGACGUGCUACCAUCCUGGCAACAACUCUACUACUGUCCUUCGUCAUCAGUGUUUCAGUGUAAACACCGCAGUCAGCACAGAUGUUUCUUACGUCCCUGGUUGGUUAAUCUACAGUAAAUACGGCUGAGAUAUGUGGUGAAAAUACGGUACCAAAGAUGAUCAAAUAUAUUGCAUAGACCAGUGAGGUAUAGCCUUAUCCUUGGCUUUUGGAAGAAUAUCAACAUUGACGUCAUUAAUGAAUUAUUUUGUAUUCUC